rnacentral:rRNA from 1 species
UACGUAGGGGGCAAGCGUUGUCCGGAUUUACUGGGCGUAAAGGGCGUGCAGGCGGUCUGUUAAGUGCAGGGUGAAAGCUCCCGGCUCAACUGGGGGAGGUCCUUGCAUACUGGCGGACUUGAGGGGGGUAGAGGAAAGUGGAAUUCCCGGUGUAGUGGUGAUAUGCGUAGAUAUCGGGAGGAACACCAGUGGCGAAGGCGGCUCUCUGGGCCUUUCCUGACGCUGAGACGCGAAAGCGUGGGGAGCGAACCGG